rnacentral:lncRNA from 1 species
UUUAAAUGUGCCUUUUCUGCUGUGUUUAUUUAUGUACACAUUUGGGGUAUGUCUUUGUCCAUAUGGGUCCAUGUCUAUGAAUAGUGACAUCUUUGUUUGACAAAUGUGGGGUCCUUGCUAGGUUUUGUUGUUCCGCUGACAUGUGUAAGCUUGGUUGGGCCUCUCUAAAUGGGAAUAGUUAUGCCUUUGUUUUGGCUAAAAAUCUUCAUAUCCUAAUUAUGGGUCAAAUGAAUAUAUUUGAUUCAAUGGCUUACGAUAACCUGGUAAAGUCAAUAGGUUUUCAUCAAAUGUAUUAGCAAUUUUAUCAUAUAUUCAACCAUUUCUUGGUUGCACUUUUAUGGGUGAUAUUUUCUUGUAGAUUCUAAAUUUCAUCAUGUUCCACCUUUCCAGAAUUUCCAAAUUUGCUGUCUAAGUAGACUAAUUUGAUCCAUUAUGUGUGUGGCAUUAGACAUCAAAUGGGUUAGACUUAGGCUUGAGAUAAGGUGCUCGCUGCUAAAAUGCAUCAUUCAAUUGAUUUAUCAACUUGGUGGCUUUGUUCACUUUUUCAUUGAUCUUAUUUUGCACACAUCAUGUGCUGCUCUCUGCACUACUUCGUCAUCGAAAGAUUUUACAUUCAGGGUUGGUACCUCCUAUUUUCUUUUCUUUUCUUUUUGUGGGAGAAUAGAAUUUGGAGGGGAAUGUUUUUUGGUUGUGUUGUUCUUGGUCAAUUAGGGAUAAUUCUUGUAAAGUUCCAAGACAUGUCUCAGUGUAUUGGUUCUCGCGUAAAUUGGGUUGUGGGAGCAAGCAGCUGCUGUACUUCAUCAAUCAUUGUUAAAAGUCGCAAAGAAAUCAUAUGCUUGUCUUUAUCUUUGGACUUGUGGCAUUUCCUGGUGUGAAAGCAUACUUUUGUUAGUAUAAGAUGCUUCCAAUCUGAAUUUUUAUCACCCUUUCUCAUGACAUUUCCCAUCCGAAAGUAUUCAUUCCAUUGGUUGCAAUUUUCAUAAAUGUGACAUUAGAUGUGUAGUUUGAUGACAAUUUUGAUGCAUUAUUUCUGAUGUCAUGUUUCCAUAGUUAUGAAUUCAUCUCAAAAAUCCCCUUUUGCAGCUUAUAUCACUGUCUGAGAAGUGGCAGCGGUUGUAGUUUUGCCUGAAUGGAGAGACAAUUGACUUCAGACCCUGGGCUUUAUUUGCCUGAAUGGAGAGACAAUUGACUUCAGACCCUGGGCUUUAUAGCUUUGAAAAUGAUGUUCCAGCAAGGAAACUUGAUGAAUCAGCGGCUUCUUAAUCGGGGAAGAGUUGUAGAUCCUAGAGUUAUUACAAAUGUAGACAAUAUA